rnacentral:rRNA from 1 species
UACGGGGGGUGCGAGCGUUGUUCGGAAUCACUGGGCUUAAAGGGCGCGUAGGCGGGUGCUCAAGUCUGUGGUGAAAUCCUCCGGCUCAACCGGAGAACUGCCAUGGAUACUGGGCGUCUCGAGUGUGGUAGGGGUAUGCGGAACUAUCGGUGGAGCGGUGAAAUGCGUUGAUAUCGAUAGGAACUCCGGUGGCGAAGGCGGCAUACUGGACCACCACUGACGCUGAUGCGCGAAAGCCAGGGGAGCAAACGGG